rnacentral:rRNA from 1 species
CCAGACUCCUACGGGAGGCAGCAGUGGGGGAUAUUGCACAAUGGGGGGAACCCUGAUGCAGCGACGCCGCGUGGGUGAAGAAGUAUUUCGGUAUGUAAAGCCCUAUCGGCAGGGAAGAAAUUGGACGGUACCUGACUAAGAAGCCCCGGCUAACUACGUGCCAGCAGCCGCGGGAAUACGUAGGGGGCAAGCGUUAUCCGGAUUUACUGGGUGUAAAGGGAGCGUAGACGGCGAUGCAAGCCAGAUGUGAAAGCCCGGGGCUCAACCCCGGGACUGCAUUUGGAACUGUGUGGCUGGAGUGUCGGAGAGGCAGGCGGAAUUCCUAGUGUAGCGGUGAAAUGCGUAGAUAUUAGGAGGAACACCAGUGGCGAAGGCGGCCUGCUGGACGAUGACUGACGUUGAGGCUCGAAAGCGUGGGGAGCAAACAGGAUUAGAUACCCUAGUAC